rnacentral:rRNA from 1 species
UACGUAGGCAGCAAGCGUUGUUCGGAAUUACUGGGCGUAAAGAGUGUGUAGGCGGUGCUCUAAGUUUGGUGUGAAAUCUCCCGGCGUCAACUGGGAGGGUGCGCCGAAAACUGGAAGUGACUUGAACGUGGGAGAGGAAAGCGGAAUUCCUGGUGUAGCGGUGAAAUGCGUAGAUAUCAGGAGGAACACCUGCGGUGUAGACGGCUUUCUGGACCAUUGUUGACGCUGAGACACGAAAGCGUGGGGAGCAAACAGG